rnacentral:rRNA from 1 species
UAGGGAAUCUUCGGCAAUGGGGGGAACCCUGACCGAGCAACGCCGCGUGAGUGAAGAAGGUUUUCGGAUCGUAAAGCUCUUUUGUUAAGGAAGAACGGGUGUGAGAAUGGAAAGUUCAUGCUGUGACGGUACUUAACCAGAAAGGGACGGCUAACUACGUGCCAGCAGCCGCGGUAAUACGUAGGUCCCGAGCGUUGUCCGGAUUUAUUGGGCGUAAAGCGAGCGCAGGCGGUUAGAAAAGUCUGAAGUGAAAGGCAGUGGCUCAACCAUUGUAGGCUUUGGAAACUGUUUAACUUGAGUGCAGAAGGGGAGAGUGGAAUUCCAUGUGUAGCGGUGAAAUGCGUAGAUAUAUGGAGGAACACCGGUGGCGAAAGCGGCUCUCUGGUCUGUAACUGACGCUGAGGCUCGAAAGCGUGGGGAGCGAACAGG